rnacentral:misc_RNA from 1 species
CUUGCAUCCAGAAUCUAGCCUACACCUCCUUCGGGAUUGUCCUUUUCUUUUGUCAGGCCUCUUUGGUUUAAUCUGCUUCCUGUUCAUCCUCCUUUAAGUUUCUUUCAGUUGUCGCUUACAGAUUGGUUGGAUACCUAUGAGCAUAGGUUUGAUCAUGCCUCUUCUUUUGUGGUUCUAUGUUGGAGCAUAUGGAAAUUUAGGAAUGAGGUGGUGCUUCAAGGGAAGCGACGCACGUUUCAGGGUAAAAUUACGUUUGUCCGCACUCUUCUCAUGCAUUGUAAGCUGGCCCUUGAUACGCCUGCAGAUGCUCCUGCUUCAGGUACUCGCUUGGUUAGUUGGUGUCCGCCUCCUCGGGAUUUUUUUAAGGUUAAUGUGGUUUUUUCGCUUGGAAAUCCUGGUUUAGCGGGUUUUGGUGCCAUUUUUCGAGGUAGAAGUGGAAAUUGGAUUGUUGGCUUUUCUUGUCAUAUUGGUACUUCUACCAACAUGCUUGCUGAGCUUAUGGCAAUCAGAUUUGGUCUUUCCGAGGCUUGGCAGCGUGGGUUCAGACUUGUCAUUCUGGAAUCGGACUCCUUGGAAAG